AUUGAACGCUGGCGGCAGGCCUAACACAUGCAAGUCGAACGGUAGCACAGAGAGCUUGCUCUCGGGUGACGAGUGGCGGACGGGUGAGUAAUGUCUGGGAAACUGCCCGAUGGAGGGGGAUAACUACUGGAAACGGUAGCUAAUACCGCAUAACGUCGCAAGACCAAAGUGGGGGACCUUCGGGCCUCACACCAUCGGAUGUGCCCAGAUGGGAUUAGCUAGUAGGUGGGGUAAUGGCUCACCUAGGCGACGAUCCCUAGCUGGUCUGAGAGGAUGACCAGCCACACUGGAACUGAGACACGGUCCAGACUCCUAUGGGAGGCAGCAGUGGGGAAUAUUGCACAAUGGGCGCAAGCCUGAUGCAACCAUGCCGCGUGUAUGAAGAAGGCCUUCGGGUUGUAAAGUACUUUCAGCGGGGAGGAAGGCGGUGAAGUUAAUAGCUUCACCGAUUGACGUUACCCGCAGAAGAAGCACCGGCUAACUCCGUGCCAGCAGCCGCCGCGG
rnacentral:rRNA from 1 species